rnacentral:rRNA from 1 species
UACGAAGGGUGCAAGCGUUAGUCGGAAUUACUGGGCGUAAAGAGCUCGUAGGUGGCUCGGUUAGUCGGGUGUGAAAACUCGGGGCUCAACCCCGAGACGCCACUCGAUACUGCUGUGGCUUGAGUCCGGUAGGGGAGCGUGGAAUUCCUGGUGUAGCGGUGAAAUGCGCAGAUAUCAGGAAGAACACCUAUGGCGAAAAGCAGCUCUCUGGGACGGUACUGACGCUGAGACGCGAAAGCGUAGGGAGCGAACAGGAUUAGAUAC